rnacentral:rRNA from 1 species
AGCAGUAGCCGCGGUAAUACAGAGGGUGCGAGCGUUAAUCGGAUUUACUGGGCGUAAAGCGUGCGUAGGCGGCUUUUUAAGUCGGAUGUGAAAUCCCUGAGCUUAACUUAGGAAUUGCAUUCGAUACUGGGAAGCUAGAGUAUGGGAGAGGAUGGUAGAAUUCCAGGUGUAGCGGUGAAAUGCGUAGAGAUCUGGAGGAAUACCGAUGGCGAAGGCAGCCAUCUGGCCUAAUACUGACGCUGAGGUACGAAAGCAUGGGGAGCAAACAGGAUUAGAUACCCCUGUAGUCCCUGUCUCUUAUAU